rnacentral:lncRNA from 1 species
AGCUUCAUUUUUAUGCAAUGCAAGCAGCUCUUUAGUUCUCUGUAAAAGACCUAAAAUAAGAGCUUUUGCUUGUCCUAGUUCAGGAAUAGACUGCCAAUGGGUGAGUUGUUGAGCUAUCAACCUGUCCCUGACAACCCGCCCAAAUGCAUCAUACCUGAUGCCCAGGGCAUGUUCGGGCCAAAUAAAGGGAGAGAAGUCCAUCAGCAAUCUCAUUGCCCUCAAUUUUUUUGUGCUCUGGAACCCAAACAAGUUGUAUCCUGAACCAAAAAAACCUUGGUCUCAAUUAGUUCGGAUAAUCGACACUCUAAGUAGGAUGCACCAUAAAAAUUUUACUAACGCCCCAGUAUCAAAUAUAGAUUACAGUAUACAUUGAUUUCUGUUCUAUAUAUAGUGUUGUAUUAUAGUUUAAAUAGAAUAUAAAAUUAAAAAAAAAUUACUUUUGAAUUGUUUUUUACUUUCGUUUUCCGUAUAUGACGUUAUAUAAUGUUAAAUUUCGAAUAAUAAAAUUUGCAUAAUAGUUUGCUGAAAUCGAAAACCUAUUAUUUAAAUACUGUAUUCAUGGAGAACACGACGAAGGACGUCUCAUCGACAGGGAGAAAUUUCAAUACUGACACAAAGAAAAUCGAAACCAUUCCAGUGAAAGUUCAAUGAUUAUUAUAUAGCUAACUAUAGCCUGUAACAAGCGAUCCAUAUCCAUAUUUAGGACGAGUUCUGGUUCCGAUAUUAUUUAAAGUUCUAUUUAUUUUUGAUAGGUUUUUUCAUCACGCUUUCUACUAAUUUAACUCGCUAUUCAUUACGCGUAAGAAAACGUUAUUAAUCAUCAAAUUAUCACUGUUAUAACCGUGCUUAAUAUAGAUUUAUACGCAUUGAUCAAAUUACCACAGCCACACGUGCCCUUUUAAUAAAAAUUCGAAUAUAUAAAUAUAUAUAUACAGAAGUCCGUUUCCUCGCUUUAAUUUUUUUUUUUAUUAUAAAUGUAUUUGAUUUUUUUUUUGUGUGUCGUAACUGCUACUAAAUAGAGAAAUUACUGAUGGAGAAAACUUAACUAAGCGAAGUUGAAGUCCGAAUAUUGAACGGUCUGGAUUGCAGCAACCUUGAAAGCUGACAUAACACUGUCUUGGAUCUCUGCAGCGACUGCUGAGCAUGCGUUCUCAAACUAAUCAAUAUUCUGACUGUAUUGUAUGUAUAGCUGCAGUCGUGGAUAUCCACGUUCUCUACAUAAACAUCAUUUCAACCAUCCCGAUAGCCGUCCAUUUCAGUUUCUUGAAUGGACUAAAGUCUUGGAUAUAUACAACAGUACACGUUUCGAGAUGAAAUGAAACAAACGCGGUGAUUGUCAUCUGUAUUUGUCCAUAAGAUACUGCAGAAAAAUGGUGGCGGAAGGAGAACAGGUAAAAACAGCACGUGCUUGUAUAAAUUUUAAAAUUACCGUAUUGUGUAGCAAUGGCCGAUAUUUAUCUCUAUGUUUUAAGUUACGGCAUUUGUGCGUUAGAUUUUUUGGAGAGAAAUUGCAUUUAUUCGAUGUAACGAGAGUUAUGGGCGUCGUCUCGCUCUACCAUGAAACAUUCAACGGCUUAACUCAAACGCUCGUUUAUCUCCUCUUCAUAUUUAUUUAUUUAAUUAUCGAAUUGUCUUGCUUAUUUUAUAUAACGCAGUUUCUUUCACUCUAGAGUAUACAUCUAUUUAUACCAUUAACAUGGCAAAAAAAAAAAAAAAAAUGGUUUAAUUUUAUAGGCCAGACGGACUUUUUUGCUUUGUUUCGAAUAUAAAAUAUAUAUAUUACAC